AACGAACGCUGGCGGCAUGCCUAACACAUGCAAGUCGAACGGGAUCCAGGCUUCGGCCUGGUGAGAGUGGCGGACGGGUGAGUAACACGUGGGAACCUGCCUUUUGGUUCGGGAUAACCGCGGGAAACUGCGGCUAAUACCGGAUGCUCCCGAGAGGGGAAAGAUUUAUCGCCAGAAGAGGGGCCCGCGUCCGAUUAGGUAGUUGGUGGGGUAAUGGCUCACCAAGCCGACGAUCGGUAGCUGGUCUGAGAGGAUGAUCAGCCACACUGGGACUGAGAUACGGCCCAGACUCCUACGGGAGGCAGCAGUGGGGAAUAUUGGACAAUGGGGGCAACCCUGAUCCAGCAA
rnacentral:rRNA from 1 species